rnacentral:ncRNA from 1 species
AAAAAAUUUGAUUCUAGUUGUUUAAUUUAAUUUAUAUUUUAUUUAUAUGUAAAUUUUUAUAAUUAAAUUAUUUUAAUAGUAAUUUAUAUAAAAAGCAAUAAUUAGUUUUAUACAAUAAAAGGGAUUUUGAUGUAGGAAUAUAUAAUAGUAUUGAUAAAAUUUGUGCCAGCAAUCGCGGUUAAACAGGUGAUACAAUUAAAUUUUAUUUAAUAAUAAUUAAUAAGAUUUGUAUAAUGAAAAAUUAAAUUUAUUAGGUAAAAUUAUAAAUUUAAAUAAAGUUAUUUAUAGAGAUUAUGGGGUUAUGAAAUUUUUUAAUUAAACUAGGAUUAGAUACCCUAUUAUAAAAAAUGUAAAUUUAAUAAUGUUAGGGGAGUAUUAGUUAUGUUCUUGAAAUUUAAAGAAUUUGGCGGUAUUUUAGUCUAUUCAGAGGAACCUGUUCUAUAAAUGAUAAUCCACGAUUAAUUUUACUUAAUUUAAUAAUUUAUAUAUCGUCGUAGAUUGAAUAUCUUUAAAAAGUUAAUAAUGUUCAUGAUUUAAAAUAUAAUAAAAGAAAUCAGAUCAAGGUGUAGUUUAUAAUUAAGGAGAGAUGGGUUACAAUAAAAUUAUUUAAAUGGAUAUAAUAUUUAAAAUUAUUAUUGAAAUUGGAUUUGAAAGUAAUUUAGUUUAUUUAAAAUAAAUGAUUUUAGCUCUAAAAUAUGUACAUAUCGCCCGUCGCUUUCAUUGAAAAUUAAAAUGAAAUAAGUCGUAACAUAGUAGGCGUACCGGAAGGUGUGCCUAGUUAGAC